GCAGGGCCCGCGGCUCCGCGGGGCCGUCGCUCCUGGCUGCUUUGGGAACGGCGACCUCCUGCUUCCCGGCGCUGGCCUGCUGAAACGUGGAAAUACGUGAUCCAAAUCUGAGCGAACUGACUGCAGAUGUUUUUGUUGACUUUAUAGACUUUGAUUAUAUCUUUGAUACAAGAGAAUCCGCCCUGCAGGACGGGAGUGUAAUUCCAUCAAGGACUUCUGGUGACCUCAUAAACCAUGAGAGCUGGCAUUGACUUUAAUGGGCACCACGUGGUUAAGUUCCCAUGCAUCAUUUUGAAAAUCUGCAAGACCCUGAACUCCAGCUGUAUGAAGAGAGGGGCAGGCAGAGCCAGUGGUGUCAAAAACCCUCACGAUGGUGAAGGCUGCAAGAUUCUGACUUCUGGUAUCAGGCAAACAGCUCCUGCUCUGCCUGCAGUUCGGCAACUACAGAUCAAGAGAAGAAGAAUAUAAACUUUCUAGAACAAAACAUGCUGAGGAUGGCUUUCAGCUGCCACGUUCUUAGCUUAAGCCAAGUGCCUUGGAAGUGCAGAUAUUUUCAGGAACAGCAUAACAUACACAUAAAGACAUAUUUCAAGUGAUCUGCAGGGUUUUUACUUAUUCUGGUAUACGCACAGUAGAUGCUGCAAGAACAAAGACUGAAUUUGGCACUUUAUUGAGAUGUAGAAAUUCAACAGCAGGAAAUAAUCUUCCUUGAAAGAAACCCCUAUUUCCGUCCUCCUUUUUUUAUACAUCCUUUAGUAGCUGAUCA